UGCCAGACUCCUACGGGAGGCAGCAGUGGGGAAUAUUGCACAAUGGGGGAAACCCUGAUGCAGCGACGCCGCGUGAGCGAUGAAGUAUUUCGGUAUGUAGAGCUCUAUCAGCAGGGAAGAAAAUGACGGUACCUGACUAAGAAGCCCCGGCUAACUACGUGCCAGCAGCCGCGGUAAUACGUAGGGGGCAAGCGUUAUCCGGAUUUACUGGGUGUAAAGGGAGCGUAGACGGCUGUGCAAGCCAGGAGUGAAAGCCCGGGGCCCAACCCCGGGACUGCUCUUGGAACUGCGCGGCUGGAGUGCAGGAGGGGCAGGCGGAAUUCCUGGUGUAGCGGUGAAAUGCGUAGAUAUCAGGAGGAACACCGGUGGCGAAGGCGGCCUGCUGGACUGCGACUGACGUUGAGGCCCGAAAGCGUGGGGAGCAAACAGGAUUAGAUACCCGUGUAUC
rnacentral:rRNA from 1 species